UACGUAGGGUGCGAGCGUUAAUCGGAAUUACUGGGCGUAAAGCGUGCGCAGGCGGUCUGUUAAGACCGAUGUGAAAUCCCCGGCUUAACCUGGGAACUGCAUUGGUGACUGGCAGGCUUUGAGUGUGGCAGAGGGAGGUAGAAUUCCACGUGUAGCAGUGAAAUGCGUAGAGAUGUGGAGGAAUACCGAUGGCGAAGGCAGCCUCCUGGGCCAACACUGACGCUCAUGCACGAAAGCGUGGGGAGCAA
rnacentral:rRNA from 1 species